CAGGAGUCUUAAAGGGUGGGUCGCCCCAUUCAAGGGCUCCUCCAUGUUGUAAAAUCACCAUCAUCAUCAUCAUCAUAAAAGACUCACAGAGCUGGGACGUUGCAAAUGCAGUGACUGAAGGAGAAGUUUACAGGACAGAGACUCCGCCCUCUUAUAUUUCACACCAAUCAUCCGGUCUAGAUCCUGGAGGCCAUCAAUGUGCCUGUCAUUUUCCUCAUUCGGAUGCGAUGUCACGAAUCACACGAUUCCAGCUGUCGUGCGUUGUGAAGAUGCUG